rnacentral:rRNA from 1 species
GCCGGCGACCGGCGCAAGGGUGCGUAACGCGUGAGCAACAUGCCCGUAUCAGGGGGAUAAUCCAUGGAAACGUGGUCUAAUACCCCAUAGUAAUUAUGUAAGGCAUCUUAUAUAAUUUAAAGCUUUGGUGGAUACGGAUUGGCUCGCGUGACAUUAGCUGGAUGGUAAGGUAACGGCUUACCAUGGCUACGAUGUCUAGGGGUUCUGAGAGGAAGGUCCCCCACACUGGAACUGAGACACGGUCCAGACUCCUACGGGAGGCAGCAGUGAGGAAUAUUGGACAAUGGAUGGAAAUCUGAUCCAGCCAUGCCGCGUGGACCAGGAAGACGGCCCUAUGGGUUGUAAACUGCUUUUGUAUGGGAGCAAUAAGGGCUACGUGUAGUCCGAUGAGAGUACCAUACGAAUAAGCACCGGCUAACUCCGUGCCAGCAGCGGC